GACGAACGUUGGCGGCGUGCUUAACACAUGCAAGUCGAACGGAAAGGCCCUGCUUUUGUGGGGUGCUCGAGUGGCGAACGGGUGAGUAACACGUGAGUAACCUGCCCUUGACUUUGGGAUAACUUCAGGAAACUGGGGCUAAUACCGGAUAGGAGCUCCUGCUGCAUGGUGGGGGUUGGAAAGUUUCGGCGGUUGGGGAUGGACUCGCGGCUUAUCAGCUUGUUGGUGGGGUAGUGGCUUACCAAGGCUUUGACGGGUAGCCGGCCUGAGAGGGUGACCGGCCACAUUGGGACUGAGAUACGGCCCAGACUCCUACGGGAGGCAGCAGUGGGGAAUAUUGCACAGUGGGCGGAAGCCUGAUGCAGCAACGCCGCGUGCGGGAUGACGGCCUUCGGGUUGUAAACCGCUUUCGCCUGUGACGAAGCGUGAGUGACGGUAAUGGGUAAAGAAGCACCGGCUAACUACGUGCCGGCAGCCGCGGUGAUACGUAGGGUGCGAGCGUUGUCCGGAUUUAUUGGGCGUAAAGGGCUCGUAGGUGGUUGAUCGCGUCGGAAGUGUAAUCUUGGGGCUUAACCCUGAGCGUGCUUUCGAUACGGGUUGACUUGAGGAAGGUAGGGGAGAAUGGAAUUCCUGGUGGAGCGGUGGAAUGCGCAGAUAUCAGGAGGAACACCAGUGGCGAAGGCGGUUCUCUGGGCCUUUCCUGACGCUGAGGAGCGAAAGCGUGGGGAGCGAACAGGCUUAGAUACCCUGGUAGUCCACGCUGUAAACGGUGGGUACUAGGUGUGGGGUCCAUUCCACGGGUUCCGUGCCGUAGCUAACGCUUUAAGUACCCCGCCUGGGGAGUACGGCCGCAAGGCUAAAACUCAAAGGAAUUGACGGGGCCCCGCACAAGCGGCGGAGCAUGCGGAUUAAUUCGAUGCAACGCGUAGAACCUUACCUGGGUUUGACAUGGAUCGGGAGUGCUCAGAGAUGGGUGUGCCUCUUUUGGGGUCGGUUCACAGGUGGUGCAUGGCUGUCGUCAGCUCGUGUCGUGAGAUGUUGGGUUAAGUCCCGCAACGAGCGCAACCCUUGUUCACUGUUGCCAGCACGUUAUGGUGGGGACUCAGUGGAGACCGCCGGGGUCAACUCGGAGGAAGGUGGGGAUGACGUCAAGUCAUCAUGCCCCUUAUGUCCAGGGCUUCACGCAUGCUACAAUGGCUGGUACAGAGAGUGGCGAGCCUGUGAGGGUGAGCGAAUCUCGGAAAGCCGGUCUCAGUUCGGAUUGGGGUCUGCAACUCGACCUCAUGAAGUCGGAGUCGCUAGUAAUCGCAGAUCAGCAACGCUGCGGUGAAUACGUUCCCGGG
rnacentral:rRNA from 1 species